AUGCUCAAAGGUGCACGUGGAUUACCCGUGACGGCAAUAGUUCAAUACACAUUUGACAAGAUGAAUGCGUACUUUGUAAAGUACUCGAUAGAAACCGAUGCACAAAUAGCGGGUGAGAACCCACGGAAGUACAAGUACAAGUUCCCACCCAAAGUUGAUGAAUGGUUGGUAUUUCAAUCACGGAAGGCGGACUCAGAAGAAGCUAUAUUAUAUGACAACGAAGAGUGGAAGUACGAAGUGAAAGAGCCAGGAGGAACCACAAACGAUGGCCGGCAACAUGGGGGUCGGGCUUUCAAGGUGUCGUUAACACAAUGUGAUUGCACUUGCGGGAGGCCAUUGUUGCUUCAUCUCCCAUGCUCACACUUGUAUACCGCCGGUCGCGUUAGGAAUGUGGACAUCAAUCACCCACGCACCGUGAAGGAGUCGGAGUUCUCAAUCAUGAUGGUCAAGAAAACAUGGGAUCCCCGCUUUCACCCAUACUUUGACCAAUCACAAUGGCCGGAGUAUCAUGGAGUUCAACUAUGGCCGGAUCCGGAGUUGAAGGUUGUUAAACGGGGUAGACGUAAGACAAAGCGUCUUAGAGGCGACAUGGACGGAUGGGGCCAUGCUGGCCGCCGCGAAGCGGGCAACGACCAAUUCCAAGAGCCUCGUGAGAGCUCCCGUUGUGGGGAGUGCAAAUUUCAUGGCCACAACAAAAGAAAAUGUACAAAACCAAGGAAAAGGUCCAAGAAAAAUGAUGCAAGCACAAGCCAACAAGGAGCUACACAAGGGAGCCAACCAAGUGGUAGCCAACAAGUGGUAGCCAACCUAGUGGUAGCCAACAAGUGCCAAGGCAACCAAGUGGUAUCCAACAAGUGCCAAGCCAACCAAGUGUUAGCCAAAGAGGAUCUAGGCAACAAAGAGGUCAGCAACUAG
rnacentral:rRNA from 1 species